ensembl:lncRNA
AUUUCAUACAUAUAAAUCUUAUUUUACAUUCAUACAUCAAUUUGAUCUGGUCAUACAAGCGUUGUGCAGACGUUCAUUUGCUCCUUUUCAGCAGUGACUGAAGAGAAAAAUGUAUGAAUCAAUAUGCAUGAAAAUAAUCUUUGCUUGAGACUGUGUGCAUUACUCAAUGUAUUCGUUGCCAAAUAUCAUUUACAAUACAACUGUCUGUCUAAUAUUCUCAUGCAGCAGGCAAUACCAACGAGCAUACCAAGUCUCAGUCGUAAUGGAACGAUCCUGCUGGAGCUGAAGAGAUCCUAUGUAUCACAGCGCCUCAACGAGCUCCAAAUGACAUUAGGCCGCAUCAGACAGAGCCAGCAGCGUGACAGCGAGUCAAAAAAUGGAACAAGAGGCCGCAUGCAAACCGACAGCAGCGCCACUCAGCAGGAGCAGAGCGACCAUUAUCCUGGCGUAGCUGAUUGGGGUCCGCUUGGCGGCCAGCGGCCGGACAGUUUUCCAUCUGACACGAGUCACAGCCAGCAAAGAGCAGAGAGCAGAGGUCCCGGUAACUCUAAACCGGAGAGUCGUAUAUCCGACCAGCUGAUGAGUGACACUGUCCAGAGCAACAACCCAGACGCAUCACUAGACUGCUAGAAGUCGUGUCUCUGUAUCCCAAGGGUGCAGGAGGCUUUGGUACACGUUUGUUUUGAUGCACAGAAUAAUACAAUUUCUUGUAUGUUUAAUCAGAGCUAAGUGUGUUGUUUUUAAUAAUGUAUGAUCUUGAAUUCUCAGGCAGGACUUAUUGUGUUCUGUUUAUUACCAUAUUCUAAAGAAGACGAUAAUCUUCAACUCGGUAGAUUCAAAAUGUGCUUCUGUGUUGUUUCUUACUCACAAACACUUCUCCCUUUUGUAGCGGUGACAACCUCUGUCUUCAUAAGUAUUUCAUGUUUGUCCGUUUUCUUCAUCUCAAAGCUCCAUUCAAAAUCUUGCUGGAAAGGUCUAUGCUUCCUUCCUCACUCGGGUUCCUCGGUUUGUCUGACGCACAGGGUUCUGGUUCUUUUAAUAGAAAGUGAGUAUUCCUACAGGGGACUGCGGGCCAAAUCAGAAGGUCAGAUGGAACAAGUCUUCACUUACUAUCAGUGUUAGCUUAGAGCUCUGUGACAACUCCCCCGAGGUGCAAUUUGGCAUUGCCCUGUAGAUUUGUGUGUGUGUGUAUGGGUGUGGUUCAGUGACUCCUUGAGAUUAUACGCCUUAUCAAUUAGAUUAGCUGCUAUGUGUUAGUGAUUUGGCCUCACGGUGAGACAAGGCAUCAUAUAACACGGCUCCUGAGCCCUGUGUUUCUACAUUAGCGGUACAGCGUUAUGUUUGCUCUAGUUGUUGGGCUCAACACAAGUGUUAUUUUUAGACACCGUCUUUUGUGAUUUGUGUGUGACAGUAUGUGUAUAUAUGUUUGAAUACUAUAUGUAUACGAUUGCAAAAUAUCCAAAUUAAAUACAAAACAUAUUCCAUGAGGUCUGCCAUGUACUCUAAUACAAUGCUAAAUGCUAAAGUUCUAACAGUGGGUCAAGAAUCAGCUGUCUUUUGUUGUAUAAACACAGCAAAACCUUUUUUUUUAAUUGCAUUGGAAUAGCAGAUUUCUUUGUGUACAUUUGUGAAUUCAAUACAUGGAUUAUAUAAUUGCAUAGAGUGCUGCACAGAUACAGAUGCAUCUAGAAUGCAUAUGAAAGAUGCUUGUAGAGAUAAACCAAAUUCCGACGUUAAGUUACAGUAUAUAUUUUUUCUAGCAAACCCCCACAAGAUUUACAUCUCAGUUUCCAACAUGUUUCAUCCACGGCAGUCUGCCGUAAUCAUGUUAUAAUCUUGAAAUCCUUCCAAAUCCCUAGAAAUCUGCUCUCCUCUGACCCAAAACUGGCCCUGUACACAUGCACACGCGUAUGUAUACAUACAUGCUCUCACUAACACACGCUCAUGUGUCAACUGCUGGUGAAUGCUGUUUUCUUGCUCUCCAGUCUUGGAAUUGAUGCACCCUUUUUUGGGAUGCAUUUACCAUAAAAUACGCAAAAGUGCUUCAUUCAUCACCUGCUGUGAAACCCCUUUGAGCUGCACACAGAAAAACACAGAGUGUAAAAGCACAUGAUUUAAUACAUAUGUUAAAUCAUUUUCUUUGAGAGGAUUUUCUUUUAUGACUAAGUCAAAACAUUAAGCUCUUAAAAAAUAUAGAGCUGCGUUUGAGCCUUCCUGUUUUAAGCCUGUGGUCUGUCGCUAAGGAGGUCUCUCGUCACCAUGGCACUGCAUUACUGUUUCUAUGGUUUCCUUAUCUGCAGGAUGUGGUUCAUCCAAGCCUGCCAUAUUUAGUCUGCUUCUCAGAGAGCUGGCCUACUGCUAAUGCUGACAACAACACAAGAGUGCACUCAGCUGCCUCUUUGCUGUCCUUUUUACAUGAAAAUCUGCUCCAACAACUACUAAGCAUCUUCUCAUACAUUAUUGUGCAUAUAUAUAUAUAU